CUAUCAUGUUACACGGUCAUUACCUUAGACCAGAACUACUACCUGUCUAUGGCUCCAAGGUCCUAGCUCUCCGAGAAGGAACUCUGGAUCUCCAUGGUAUACACAGAUCGUCGUGGACAAAACUAGCUACAACAACAAUAAAAGGUGCCACACAAAUUGUCCUCAUUGAUCCUGUCAACUGGACACCAGGUGACCUGAUCGUCAUAGCAACUACAGGCAACAAAGCUUCCCAGGGGCAAACGGAAACAAGGAAAAUUCAAGAAAUAUCUGUGGAUGGACAUACAUUGACCUUGACCAAGCCUCUGGAGCAUGAACACUUGGGGGUAACACUGACACACGGGGGUCACGAGUUUGAAGUACAAGCAGAGGUUGGCCUUCUGAGUCAUAAUGUCAAGGUUGUUGGUAGUAAUAAUGACAGUCUUACAGAAAAGGUCCAGGCAUGCAAUGAAGGGUUUGU